rnacentral:rRNA from 1 species
GACGAACGCUGGCGGCGUGCUUAACACAUGCAAGUCGAACGGAAAGGCCCUGCUUUUGUGGGGUGCUCGAGUGGCGAACGGGUGAGUAACACGUGAGUAACCUGCCCUUGACUUUGGGAUAACUUCAGGAAACUGGGGCUAAUACCGGAUAGGAGCUCCUGCUGCAUGGUGGGGGUUGGAAAGUUUCGGCGGUUGGGGAUGGACUCGCGGCUUAUCAGCUUGUUGGUGGGGUAGUGGCUUACCAAGGCUUUGACGGGUAGCCGGCCUGAGAGGGUGACCGGCCACAUUGGGACUGAGACACGGCCCAGACUCCUACGGGAGGCAGCAGUGGGGAAUAUUGCACAAUGGGCGGAAGCCUGAUGCAGCAACGCCGCGUGCGGGAUGACGGCCUUCGGGUUGUAAACCGCUAUCGCCUGUGACGAAGCGUGAGUGACGGUAAUGGGUAAAGAAGCACCGGCUAACUACGUG